AUUGAACGCUGGCGGCAGGCCUAACACAUGCAAGUCGAGCGAGCGGCGGACGGGUGAGUAAUGUCUGGGAAACUGCCCGAUGGAGGGGGAUAACUACUGGAAACGGUAGCUAAUACCGCAUACUAUCAGAUGUGCCCAGAUGGGAUUAGCUGGUAGGUGGGGUAACGGCUCACCUAGGCGACGAUCCCUAGCUGGGCUGAGAGGAUGACCAGCCACCCGGGAACUGAGACACGGUCCAGACGCCUACGGGAGGCAGCAGGGGGGAAUAUUGCACAAUGGGCGCAAGCCUGAGGCAGCCAUGCCGAGUGUGUGAAGAAGGCCUUCGGGUUGUAAAGUACUUUCAGCGGGGAGGCGUUACCCGCAGAAGAAGCACCGGCUAACUCCGUGCCAGCAGCCGCGGUAAUAC
rnacentral:rRNA from 1 species